UACGUAGGGUGCGAGCGUUAAUCGGAAUUACUGGGCGUAAAGGGCGCGUAGGCGGCCUACUAAGUCGGACGUGAAAUCCCCGGGCUCAACCCGGGAACUGCGUCCGAUACUGGAAGGCUUGAAUCCGGGAGAGGGAUGCGGAAUUCCAGGUGUAGCGGUGAAAUUCGUAGAUAUUCGGAAGAACACCAGUGGCGAAGGCGACUUACUGGAUCAUGACUGACGCUGAGGCUCGAAAGCGUGGGGAGCAAACAGG
rnacentral:rRNA from 1 species